rnacentral:rRNA from 1 species
CACGGGGGGAGCAAGCGUUGUUCGGAAUUACUGGGCGUAAAGCGCGUGUAGGCGGCCCUGCAAGUCGGGUGUGAAAUCCCACGGCUCAACCGUGGAAGUGCACUCGAAACUGCAGGGCUAGAGUCCUGGAGAGGAAGGUGGAAUGCUUGGUGUAGAGGUGAAAUUCGUAGAUAUCAAGCGGAACACCGGUGGCGAAGGCGGCCUUCUGGACAGUGACUGACGCUGAGACGCGAAAGCGUGGGGAGCAAACAGG